rnacentral:rRNA from 1 species
UACGUAGGCGGAAAAUUAAGUCAGUAGUGAAAUCCUGCAGCUUAACUGUAGAACUGUUAUUGAUACUGGUUUUCUUGAAUAUAGUUGAGGUAGGCGGAAUGUGUAAUGUAGCGGUGAAAUGCUUAGAUAUUACACAGAACACCGAUUGCGAAAGCAGCUUACUAAGCUAUGAUUGACGCUGAGGUACGAAAGCGUGGGGAGCGAACAGGAUUAGAUACCCUGGUAGUCC